CGGUCCGUAGCUCAGGGGAAGAGCGCCAGCUCUGUGCUGGAGGCCCCCGGUCGAGACGGGGCGGGUCCGCCA
rnacentral:tRNA from 1 species